ensembl:lncRNA
GUAGUAUCCAGGAUCCGUGGCAGAUGGUAUUUUCCGAAGAUCGCUACAACACCUCCCAUCCCAAAUAGAGCGUGUCUUUGACACUCUUCCCACAGACAGGUGGGGGUCUCCAUUUCUCCCCCAUGAACCUGGGCAGCUCGGGACAGAAGGUGCGGCAGUGACAUGCGGCAUCCAGGCUAGAUCAUAAUAGGGGUAGUACUUCUGCCUGGUGACCGUGGGGCACUGUCCUUUGGAGCCCCGAGCCGUCCAGUAAGAAGUCUGACGCUGCCAUGAUAGGAGGAAGCCCAGUCCGCAUGGAGAGGUCAGGUGUAGGCGUUCUGGCCAACAGUCACCAUCGAACGCCAGACGUGUGAGUAGAGACGUCUCCAGAUGAUUCCUACCCCAGCCAUCAAGUCACUGCCACCUUCGGUGGGGGGGUGGGAGGUGGGGGCAGAGAAGAGUCCCAGAUAGCCUGGCACGGACACAAACCGUCGGGGUUCUACCCACCCCUAAUCCCUGAGCCACACGUGCCUUAAACAUAAUACGAGGAUCACCCCAGCGCGAAUCUGGGGGCUGCUUGCUGCCCCGGGUAACUGGCACAAGAGAGCAAAGCGAGACAUACACCGGGGGAAUGCUCAUUUAAAAUAGAUCCUGAUCCCUACCAGAGAGGGUGGGCAAGACAGGAGCUGAGAGGAGGGAAGAAACGUGUGGGCUGGAGGUCGGGAAAUGGUUUUUUGAGGCAGCAAGGCAAAACUUAAGCCUUAAUUAAGUGGGUAUUAUUUGGAUAGGGGAGCACGAGGUGAAGGGAGUUCACUUAUUAAUAAAAGAACCCAUAACUCAGUAUGUCUCCAAUGAUUAUAGUAAUAACAAUUAUAGUAAUAGCUAAUGAUGUGGGGUGAUAAUUUUAAAUACACACCAAUUAUUGUUUUUCGCUGGUAUUUCCUGUUACCCCCUGACCCUUCCUUACCUUCUGAGCGGCUCCAACAUAUGGCAUCCAUUGCCUCCAGGAAAGGACGUGGAAGCAAAGACAGAGAAAAGCCAAGCGAUUCAAUUCAGGCCUGGCUCUCAGGAAGAACCCAGCAUGCCCCAGCUCCUAUCGUCCCGUUUUACAUGUAAGCAAGUGGAGGAAGCCCAGGGAGGGCGGGCCAGUUUCCCAGGGUCACCAAGCCGCACAGUGAAAGGAUCCAGCCUCAACCACCAGGCUCGUCGGAUUUCUGACGCCCAGCUCACAACUGCCGCUGCUCCCUGGCUGAAAAAAUACAGAGGGAGCCUUGCCUUAGGUAAUUCAAGGCCUGCUUGAUCAAAAGGGAAUAACAGAUCUAACAUGUCACAGCAUUAGACUUGUCUGACAGGACACUUUCUACGUGGCUGUUUGCCAGAAACUAAUACCCUUCUGUGAAUUUACCUCUUGGUUUUAAAACGUCGUGCUCUAGGUGUUUCUGCUUGGUUUUGUUUUUGUUUUUGUUUUGUUUUGCUUUUGGUUCUGUGUGGGGCUCAAACCUCCUGUUUCCACUUGUCCCUUUUCAAUAUAAAGUUGGGCACCGGGUCUGUCCGAGUCUCCCGUCACCUGGCACUACGUGCAGGUGGGGCUGGGGGACACCUGGUCACGGGCCUUUGUUUACGCGUGGGGAAACUGAGGCCUGGAGCAGGCAAGGGACGUGUGUCUGGUCCCCCAGCCUCCUGACGGGCUGGAACCCAGGGUGGGGGCCUGAGUCCCCGGGGGCUCUCGGUGCUGAGACGCUGAUCCACUUUUGACACCUAAUUUCAUCCACAGGGUCCUGUCCGUUGUGGCGGCUGCCACG